rnacentral:rRNA from 1 species
UACGUAGGGGGCAAGCGUUGUCCGGAAUCAUUGGGAGUAAAGAGCGUGUAGGCGGCCAGAAAAGUCCGCUGUGAAAACUCGAGGCUCAACUUCGAGCUGUCGGUGGAAACUUUCUGGCUAGAGUCCGGAAGAGGAGAAUGGAAUUCCUGGUGUAGCGGUGAAAUGCGCAGAUAUCAGGAAGAACACCCGUGGCGAAGGCGGUUCUCUGGGACGGUACUGACGCUGAGACGCGAAAGCGUGGGGAGCGAACAGG